rnacentral:rRNA from 1 species
CCUACGGGAGGCAGCAGUGAGGAAUAUUGGUCAAUGGACGCAAGUCUGAACCAGCCAUGCCGCGUGCAGGAUGACGGCUCUAUGAGUUGUAAACUGCUUUUGUACGAGGGUAAACCCCGAUACGUGUAUCGGGUUGAAAGUAUCGUACGAAUAAGGAUCGGCUAACUCCGUGCCAGCAGCCGCGGUAAUACGGAGGAACCGAGCGUUAUCCGGAUUUAUUGGGGUUAAAGGGUGCGUAGGCGGUUUGAUAAGUUAGAGGUGAAAUGUCGGGGCUCAACCCCGGAACUGCAUCUAAUACUGUUAGACUAGAGAAUAGUUGAGGUAGGCGGAAUGUAUGGUGUAGCGGUGAAAUGCUUAGAGAUCAUACAGAACACCGAUUGCGAAGGCAGCUUACCAAACUAUAUCUGACGUUGAGGCACGAAAGCGUGGGUAGCAAACAGGAUUAGAUACCCCGGUAGUC